UUACCUUAGCAACGGCAGUGAAGGGCCAACCCUAGGAGGCGGGAGGGGCGGGGGAGCGAUAGCCACUCUAGUUAGUUCCCCGGGCUCGCCUUUACGUUUGACCCUUACUGCAUCCUGUAGCUGCCUGAGAUGGAACGGGGAAAUUCCCGCCAAUUUGAAUCUCAGACUGUGAGGCAGCUGCCGUAGUAGAGCUUUAUACCCCACGCCCAGCUCGCUCCCUCCCUCCUAUGACUGAGGGGAGAGAGACCUUUAUACAGUGCCUCUGGGCUGAGGCGUUGCUACUGGAUGCCAAGCUAAGAAUGAUGUAGGCUCAGCUCCCCCUGUAUGGAAAGAGCUCUGCCUGGCUCCUGGAGUGCUGCUUGCAUGUGAUUUCAGUCACCAUGGGCUGUAAAGGAUUAGAGAAAGGAGCCACUAAGCACCAU